UACAGAGGUCUCAAGCGUUGUUCGGAAUUAUUGGGCGUAAAGGGAGUGUAGGCGGCUUGUUAAGUCUUCUGUGAAAUCUACGGGCUUAGCCUGUAAAGUGCAGAGGAAACUGGCGAGCUUGAGUGUCGGAGAGGGUAGCGGAAUUCCCGGUGUAGAGGUGAAAUUCGUAGAGAUCGGGAGGAACACCAGUGGCGAAGGCGGCUACCUGGCUGACAACUGACGCUGAGACUCGAAAGCAUGGGGAGCAAACAGG
rnacentral:rRNA from 1 species